UGGGGAAUUUUGGACGAAUUGGGGGCAACCGUCGAUCCAGCAAUGCCGCGUGUGUGAAGAAGGCCUUCGGGUUGUAAAGCACUUUUGUCCGGAAAGAAAACGUCGUGGUUAAUACCCGUGGCGGCUGACGGUACCGGAAGAAUAAGCACCGGCUAACUACGUGCCAGCAGCCGCGGUAAUACGUAGGGUGCAAGCGUUAAUCGGAAUUACUGGGCGUAAAGCGUGCGCAGGCGGUCCGCUAAGACAGAUGUGAAAUCCCCGGGCUUAACCUGGGAACUGCAUUUGUGACUGGCGGGCUAGAGUAUGGCAGAGGGGGUAGGAAUUCCACGUGUAGCAGUGAAAUGCGUAGAGAUGUGGAGGAAUACCGAUGGCGAAGGCAG
rnacentral:rRNA from 1 species